GUAAGCAGCGUGGGGUAAACAGCGUGGGCUGCGGCUCAUUGUGCAGCGGGGGGAGGAAGAGUCCGGACGUGUUCCCUUGGAGGUGCCUGCGAGAGGUGAAGAGAGGCCCAGUGAGGGUGGGGAAGAGCCUGGAGGGAGGGCUGGGCUCAGACAUAUUUGGGAAUCAGCACAUACAGAUCGGCCUGGAUGGGAGCCGGAGGGCUUGGAGAGAAAGGACACGGGUCUGGAGUGGCCCUGGGGCCCCUACACUCAGAGUUGGAGACCAACAGGCCAGUCCAGGGACCCCGUGGACCAACUGUGAGCUGAGUGGGGCCAGGACUCUCAGGCUUACAUGUAUGCCAGCACCCCAGCAGGGCCUCCACCCGCCACCCGCCACCGUGCUGGCCCAGGGCCAGGGCCACCGAGAGCCGGCUCCAAAAUCCUGUCUGCUGUCUGCCUCCCGGGACUGCUCCGGCCCCAGCCGUCUCAGGACCACACGACAGCAUCCUGACCAGCCCGUAUUGUUGGGCGCUCCAGUCGCUGCAGUGCUGGAAAGUCUCGUCACCUCUUCAGGCAGGCUCCCUCGACUUGGGCUGCUGGGGGCAGGCGGGAGCACUGUCCUGUGCCACCUUAUGACUUGAGCUUUGCACACUCCACAUGGUUGCUGGGACCCAUCUUGCGUCCCCAGCCCCUCCUCCUGCACCUCCCUCUGGGCCUCUUUCACAUGUGUGCACGUGCUGUUCCUCUCCUUCCCGCGUCUGCCGCUGGCGCAGGCUGUGCUGUGGGCUGUGGACUCAGUAGGUAGUGUGGGUGGCCAUCAGCAAGUCCCCGUCCCCGGGAGCACUGCACCCCCCUCCCAGCCUAGUUUGUCACAGAGCAGGGCCACACCACACCUCCAUGGGGCGGCAGUCCUGGGGAGACGGAGCUCCGUGAGCCUGUGAGCCCCAGAGCCCCGACAGCUGACGGCUCGCAUGGCGAGGAUGCUGAGCAGAGGACAGUGCUCCCAGGCCUAGAUGACAUCACGGACCCCAGGGACCCGCCUGUCAGUGGAGGAGGAACAUGCAGGUUGUCCAGCCCCCUGGAGCCUGGCCUGGGUUCCUGCUGCCCUGCUGUCUCUCUAGAACAGUUCAGGGGGGUCCUUUCCAUCCUAACAGCGUUCUGACAUCUGCAGAAUCUGGGAGGCAUCAAGGGCCUGGCCGGCUGCUAACAUAUCAGGUUCCCACAACAGUUUGACUAGGUAUCUAUCAUACUUCCGAUUUCAUGGAUGAGGGAACCAAAGUCCAGAGAGGCUGAGGAACUUCAAGGCUCCAUAGCUACUCACGGAUGGAGAUGAGACUUAAACAGAGCUCAUCAUUAUUGACCAGGACGCUGCACGGUGAGGUUCUGGAGAUCCUGAACAUGUCCGCCUCACCUUUCAUCUACUUAGGCAUCUUUGAACUUCGAUAUCACAGUCCUGACCUGUGACCAGCCGGCUGAGUGUGGGCCCUGGCCUGGGCCAGGGUUUGGAGCUGGGCUCCGCCUCUCACCAGCUGUGGGCUCUCGUGCACAUUACUUAACCUUUCUGUGCCUCCGUUUCCUCCAUCGGCGGUUUGGGGAUGUUUGGGAUUACGUGAGUUAAUACCCGUAAAGUGCUUACAAGAGGACCUGGUACUACGUAGAAAGUGCUUAGUUCUUGAGCCGCUGUAAACACUUAGUCCUGCUUAUGUGCAGCCACAGCCCAGAAUCUCAGGAUGUUUUUUCUAUGAACAAAAUGGCUCUUGGAUGUGCUAAUGGGCCCUGAACGUCUGAGAUGAUCAGGCGAGAAAAGCCGGGUCUACACAGCUGCGCUGGUGGGAGGCACGGGAGGGGCUGGGGCAGGAUCUCUGCCUGGAGGCAGUGCUUCCAGGUGUUGGGCGGGGGCAGACGUGGGGAAGCCGUCUCUUCCCACAUGCCCUUUAUUUUAAAAUGUUCUACUGAACAAUGUAUUGUAUACUUCCUUCAAAUGGUAGAUUUUCUUAUUGUUCAAAAAU
ensembl:lncRNA